CACGUAGGGGACGAGCGUUGUCCGGAUUCAUUGGGCGUAAAGCGCGCGUAGGCGGCUCGGAAAGUCGGUCGUGAAAUGCCGGGGCUCGACCCCGGGACUGCGUCCGAUACUUCCGGGCUGGAGGUAGGUAGGGGAGAUCGGAAUUCCUGGUGUAGCGGUGAAAUGCGCAGAUAUCAGGAGGAACACCGGUGGCGAAGGCGGAUCUCUGGGCCUUACCUGACGCUGAGGCGCGAAAGCUAGGGGAGCGAACAGG
rnacentral:rRNA from 1 species